rnacentral:rRNA from 1 species
UCCUACGGGAGGCAGCAGUGGGGAAUAUUGGACAAUGGGGGAAACCCUGAUCCAGCGACGCCGCGCGAGUGAAGAAGUAUUUCGGUAUGUAAAGCUCUAUCAGCAGGGAAGAAAGAAAUGACGGUACCUGACUAAGAAGCCCCGGCUAACUACGUGCCAGCAGCCGCGGUAAUACGUAGGGGGCAAGCGUUAUCCGGAUUUACUGGGUGUAAAGGGAGCGUAGGUGGCAUGGUAAGCCAGAAGUGAAAACCCGGGGCUCAACCCCGCGGAUUGCUUUUGGAACUAUCAGGCUGGAGUGCUGGAGG